GAUGAAGAACGCAGCGAAAUGCGAUAAGUAAUGUGAAUUGCAGAAUUCAGUGAAUCAUCGAAUCUUUGAACGCACAUUGCGCCCGCCGGUAUUCUGGCGGGCAUGCCUGUUCGAGCGUCAUUUCAACCAUCAAGCCCCCGGCUUGUGUUGGGGACCUGCGGCUGCCGCAGGCCCUGAAAACCAGUGGCGGGCUCGCUAGUCACUCCGAGCGUAGUAAUACAUCUCGCUCAGGGCGUGCUGCGGGUUCCGGCCGUUAAAAAGCCUUAUUUACCCAAGGUUGACCUCGGAUCAGGUAGGAAGACCCGCUGAACUUAAGCAUAUCAAUAAGCGGAGGA
rnacentral:misc_RNA from 1 species